UACGUAGGGUGCAAGCGUUAAUCGGAAUUACUGGGCGUAAAGCGUGCGCAGGCGGCUUUGCAAGACAGAUGUGAAAUCCCCGAGCUCAACCUGGGAACUGCAUUUGUGACUGCAAGGCUAGAGUACGGUAGAGGGGGAUGGAAUUCCGCGUGUAGCAGUGAAAUGCGUAGAUAUGCGGAGGAACACCGAUGGCGAAGGCAAUCCCCUGGACCUGUACUGACGCUCAUGCACGAAAGCGUGGGGAGCAAACAGG
rnacentral:rRNA from 1 species